rnacentral:rRNA from 1 species
UACGAAGGGUGCAAGCGUUACUCGGAAUUACUGGGCGUAAAGCGUGCGUAGGUGGUUUGUUAAGUCUGAUGUGAAAGCCCUGGGCUCAACCUGGGAAUUGCAUUGGAUACUGGCAGGCUAGAGUGCGGUAGAGGAUGGCGGAAUUCCCGGUGUAGCAGUGAAAUGCGUAGAGAUCGGGAGGAACAUCUGUGGCGAAGGCGGCCCCCUGGGCUAAGAUUGACGCUCAGGCACGAAAGCGUGGGGAGCAAACAGG